UACAGAGGUCCCAAGCGUUGUUCGGAUUCACUGGGCGUAAAGGGUGCGUAGGUGGCAGGUAAGGUCGGAUGUGAAAGCUCGGAGCUCAACUCCGAAAUGGCAUUGGAAACUACCUUGCUCGAGGGUUGGAGGGGGGACUGGAAUGCUUGGUGUAGCAGUGAAAUGCGUAGAUAUCAAGCGGAACACCAGUGGCGAAGGCGAGUCCCUGGACAACUCCUGACACUGAGGCACGAAAGCUAGGGGAGCAAACAGG
rnacentral:rRNA from 1 species